rnacentral:tRNA from 1 species
GAGGGUAUAGUUUAAUGGAUAAAACUUCGGUUUCCGGAACCGACGAUUGGGGUUCGAUUCCCUAUAUCCUCGCCA